GUGUGAUACAGGCAAAUACUAUAUGUUCAGCAUGUUACCUUUUUCUCCUGCCCACAUCCGCUGGUCCUUUAUGUCAUCAACUGAUGGUAAAUACGGGCGAUAUCCAUGGGGAAGGAAGACAGUCUUGCAGCAGGCAGAUUCUGAGCUUCAGCUGAUAAACACCUUCAUUGGAUCUCUUUGAGGACCUUGGCUUUUCCCCACAAACAAGCUCCGUUGUUGUCCAAUCCAAAUAGAAACAGAUUUGUAUGACAUUCAGCUCAGGGUGACUGAUGGUGGAAUUGAAGCGGCUUUAUUGACCACUGGACACAUGUUCCUCUGAGGUCAGCUUAUGCUCUGAAAAGGAAACAUGAGUUCUGCUGGGGGAAAUGGCCCAUCUUCACCAACCGUGCUGCUUGUCAUGACUCCGUAUAGAAGGAAGAGGAUCCAGGAAUUAGACUGUAAGAAAGAACUGAGAAGUAAGAAGAGACAGACAGAGACAAGCGGACCAGAGGGAGCGUGAGGAGAAACAGGCGGAGUCGCAGGAGGUGAGUGGGAGGAGUCUGUUGCAUAGAUCGAAGCAAACAGGAGGAGGACAAGGGUCGACCGGAGGUGAGACACACACUGAGGAAACAGACAUGCAGAUGCAUACUCCUGCAUGUGCUAUCGGUUUGUGAUGAGAGCAGGACUCUUGAGGAUCACACACCCGAGUGAGUCCCACUGUGUGCCCUGUGAUGUGCUUGCAACCUGUCCCGCCUCACACCCCAGGUAGCUGGGAAUUGCUGCAGACCUGUCUGCCAGUGCAAGAUCACUUAAAGAAUAAGUCAGUGUUUGGAUUCUCAUCCUUAUCAAAGCUGCUAUUAAGCUCCUUUAUGAGGAAAAAGCUAUCUGUAGCAAAAAUAACAUUGUAAAAUCAAAUCCCUGGGUAUUUCAGGAGAAAGAAUAAAAAUUUCCAGUUGACGUAUAGUAGCCUUUAAACACAUUGAAAAACUCUCAAAAAGCGAACGACGGAUGCUGUGACUGGUCGGUUAAGAAGACCUAGCUCCUCGGGAUAUGGCUGAUGAAGUCAGGUGUUUGUGCAUCCACGACGACCGAAUCAACUCCAGACUCAAACAAAGCUUCCUCAGUGUGUUUCACCUCCGAGCGCUGAUACAUGUGUCCAAGAACCAUUCAGGGAGGGGCGCGAACAGGUCGAAUGCCACGGGGGGUGGGAAGGGACAGGUUGUGGUCUCAUUCCAUACUAAAACAUGCAGAACACAGAACAUUGAGCACAUAUACUGAACAGUUAGUUUUUAUCCAAAUGCAUUUUUUUUCCCGUAUUUUUGUACAGAGAGUGGCGUUUAGGUUACACAGAACACGACGGAACCAAUCACACCAGGUCAGACAUAUUGCUUUAAACCACCAAAGUUUGUAUAUAUGUCAUGCAUGCCACAUAGAUGAUAGUAUGUUUUACAAAAAUAACACCAACGCCUAUUACUGUGUAUCAUAGUAAUUACAGAAAACAAGUCAGUCUUUUUUUCCCCAAGAACAAAAAAAAAAAAUCUACAUUUACA